rnacentral:misc_RNA from 1 species
AAGAUGCGUGUUCAAGAUGAUAUGAUUUCACUUUAACAUAAAAUUGGAUGUUUAAGGACACACAAUGUUAUUAUUGGGAAUACUUGUUUUAAGCUAUUUUGGGGCGGUCAUUGGACAAGCCCCGAAGUGGUUCAACGAAUGUGUUGGAUACGGUUGUGGAGCCACAAAGUACCGUCACAAGCGAUGUGAGGCUAAACCCGACUACAAAGACCUUCUCAAAUGCGUAAACCAAGCCGACUUUGUGCACGUGACCUUCAAGGGUUCCGGGAAGAUUAAACUCCCCGCCUCUAUAAAGCCCAGACGGGGAUUGAUUCUUGACGGAUCAGGACGGGAUAUUACAAUUACGGGGGAGUCAAUCCAACUGGUCAGCGAUUCGAUUGUGUACAGAAUCAACUUUGACACCGGGAAGGACGAUGGGUUGAAACUGCGUGGAAAGUACAAGAACGCCUGGAUUCAUCGAUGUUCAUUCCGUAACUAUGACGACGGGUUGGUUGAUAUCACUAAAGGGUUCAGUCACGUGACUGUGUCGAAUUCUAAAUUCGCUGACCAUGAUAAAACUAUGCUAAUAGGCGCUAGUGAAAAGGACGUUGGUGACGUAAAAAUGCGAAUUACACUCCAUAGCAACUACUUCAUCAAUUGUCGUCAGAGGCUGCCAAGAGUCAGAUAUGCUUCGGUCCACGUUUUCAACAAUUUCUUCCAAGACUGGGGUCUGUAUGCAGUCGGAUCGAGUCAGAAAGCGUACGUUCUUCUCGAAAACAACUACUUCAAAAUCAGCGACAAAAAGCGCGCGAAAACUGCACAUGAGACCGAACCACGUGGUGAAGACAAAUAUAGUGGGUAUCUCAGAGCUGAAGGAAAUUACUACACUACGGGGAUCAAAGGAAAGACAAACAAGAGUAGCCGCGUAUCUUAUGUACCAUACAAGUAUAAAAUGAUGAAGGCUGAUAAGAAGAUGAGCGUGGCGAUUAAAGCAGGCGCUGGGUAUAAAUCUAAAUGAGAGCGGAUGUCAUAAUUUCAGCUUAAUAACACGAAGGCGUCUCAAAUAAACAUUCAUUUCAAAUGUCAAACCAAACUUUUAUUUAAUAAAGAUUAAGAAUUUAACGCAAAACAUUUUAAACUCAUAGUCUGAUAGUUGGUAUAUGAGCUAGACGUCCUUGAUAUAUAUAAUGAUACAUAUAAUACAACUUAUCAUUCGAGAAAGUUUAAUUGGUACAGUGUAAACCUGUUUUCCUCAAGAUUAGGCCAAGAUUAGGCCUAAGUCUUGCAUAUUUUCCUAAACAAAAUUAUUUAAGCAAAACCACAAGUGGGUCCUCCGUUCCCUGCUAUCUUUACAUUCAUUGAAAUACGCAUAUUCCUUCAUAAAUACACAUUUACUUGUGUGAAUUUCACAUUUUGCAGCUUUGGGCGGUUUCACUCUUAGAUCGAAUACAUUGUAUUGAACUGUAACAUGUUUGUUGCAUUUAGCUGUGUUGUAUCCUUACAUUGAAUGGGCGCAUAUUUGGAGUAAUUGUGAUUUGCUGACAUAUUGUCCAUUGUACUGAACUGUAAUCUGAUGCAUUUAGCUGUGUUGUAUCCAUACAUUUGGAGUAAUAUUUGUAGCGAUCCAUUGU